AAAUUUUCCCCCUUAAUAGCAAAUCAAUUUCUGUAGGAGGGAAACAGAGGAAAACCAGUAUCACCGGCGAACCGUCGCCGGAAAAUCAUUCUCGCCGUUCUUGCCCAAAAGAAGCGAUUGAACUGAUCAAAAUGGCCUCGUCCGCUAUAGUGAAUACAUACCCACUCUCUAGCUAUACAUUUGGUACAAAAGAGCAUAAAAUGGAGAAGGAUACAUCCGUUGCCGAUCGCCUUGCUCGUAUGAAAGUCAACUACAUGAAGGAGGGUGUAAGGACAAGUGUUGAAGGAAUUCUAUUGGUACAAGAACAUAACCAUCCUCAUAUUCUUCUUCUGCAAAUUGGGAACACAUUUUGCAAGCUCCCAGGUGGACGCCUAAAGCCAGGAGAAAAUGAAAUCGAGGGUUUGAAAAGGAAACUUUCCAGCAAACUUGCUGCUAAUCCUCCUGCCAAUCAGCCAAAUUGGAAGAUAGGUGAGUGCAUAGCCACCUGGUGGAGGCCUAACUUUGAAACCAUAAUGUAUCCAUACUGUCCUCCACAUAUAACAAAACCUAAGGAGUGUAAGAAGCUCUACCUUGUUCACUUAUCUGAAAGAGAAUACUUUGCUGUCCCCAAAAAUCUUAAACUUCUUGCUGUGCCAUUGUUUGAGCUUUAUGACAAUGUUCAGAGAUAU
rnacentral:misc_RNA from 1 species